rnacentral:rRNA from 1 species
UAGGGAAUCUUCGGCAAUGGACGAAAGUCUGACCGAGCAACGCCGCGUGAGUGAAGAAGGUUUUCGGAUCGUAAAACUCUGUUGUUAGAGAAGAACAAGGACGUUAGUAACUGAACGUCCCCUGACGGUAUCUAACCAGAAAGCUACGGCUAACUACGUGCCAGCAGCCGCGGUAAUACGUAGGUGGCAAGCGUUGUCCGGAUUUAUUGGGCGUAAAGCGAGCGCAGGCGGUUUCUUAAGUCUGAUGUGAAAGCCCCCGGCUCAACCGGGGAGGGUCAUUGGAAACUGGGAGACUUGAAUGCAGAAGAGGAGGGUGGAAUUCCAUGUGUAGCGGUGAAAUGCGUAGAUAUAUGGAGGAACACCAGUGGCGAAGGCGGCUCUCUGGUCUGUAACUGACGCUGAGGCACGAAAGCGUGGGGAGCAAACAGG